rnacentral:rRNA from 1 species
GAUGAACGCUGGCGGCGUGCCUAAUACAUGCAAGUCGAGCGAACGGACGAGAAGCUUGCUUCUCUGAUGUUAGCGGCGGACGGGUGAGUAACACGUGGAUAACCUACCUAUAAGACUGGGAUAACUUCGGGAAACCGGAGCUAAUACCGGAUGAUAUUUUGAACCGCAUGGUUCAAAAGUGAAAGACGGUCUUGCUGUCACUUAUAGAUGGAUCCGCGCUGCAUUAGCUAGUUGGUAAGGUAACGGCUUACCAAGGCAACGAUGCAUAGCCGACCUGAGAGGGUGAUCGGCCACACUGGAACUGAGACACGGUCCAGACUCCUACGGGAGGCAGCAGUAGGGAAUCUUCCGCAGUGGGCGAAAGCCUGACGGAGCAACGCCGCGUGAGUGAUGAAGGUCUUCGGAUCGUAAAACUCUGUUAUUGGGAAGAACAUAUGUGUAAGUAACUGUGCACAUCUUGACGGUACCUAAUCAGAAAGCCACGGCUAACUACGUG